CACGACUCUUGGCAACGGAUAUCUCGGCUCUCGCAUCGAUGAAGAACGUAGCGAAAUGCGAUACCUGGUGUGAAUUGCAGAAUCCCGCGAACCAUCGAGUCUUUGAACGCAAGUUGCGCCCGAGGCCAUUCGGCCGAGGGCACGCCUGCCUGGGCGUCACGCU
rnacentral:rRNA from 1 species